rfam:Gorilla gorilla gorilla genomic chromosome, chr6, whole genome shotgun sequence
GCUGGGUGUGGUGGAGCACACCUGUGGUCCCAGCUUCCUGGGAGGCAGAGGUGGGAGGAUUGCUUGAGCUCAGGAGGCUGAGGCUGCAGUGAACCAUGAUCCCACCACUGCACUCCAGCCUGGGUGACAGAGUGAGACCCUGUCUCCA